AGUCUCCGCCCGCUCCGCAGUCGCCUCUCCGCCACACAGUGCCCCCAGCAGUGCGCAGGGCUCUCGGCUCUGCGCCAGAAGCGCAUCCGCCAACACCCGCUCCAUUGCGCGGGGAGCUGAUCCUGUGCGCGUGCGCCGGCCACUCUAAGCACAAGCCCAGUGAAGAGCAUGACUUCAGGCUGGUCAGGAGCUGAUGAAGGCAGCCAGUUUGCUAUGAUAAUCAGACCCCAUUCACAGCUCCACUCCUGCCCCAGCUUCCAAGACCUUCAAUGUCUCCUCUGCAGGAGUCUUCUGAGUCACCAAGUGAUACCCAGAAAUAAUAGAGCCAACUGAGCAUGGAUCCAAACCUCUGAAACUAUGAGCCAAACUGCUUCUGAUGAAAAGGAUGCUGGUGUUCCACAGCAUGGAUUAUGUUGGUCUGAGUGGCACAUGGAACUAGAAUCCCAUUGGAAAAAUGACUUUUAAAUCUGGGGUGAGUUUGUGUUCUGGAAUACAUGGCAGUUGCAUAAAUAAAAAACA